rnacentral:rRNA from 1 species
UACAGAGGGGGCAAGCGUUGUUCGGAAUUACUGGGCGUAAAGGGCGCGUAGGCGGCCGCCUAAGUCAGACGUGAAAUCCCUCGGCUCAACCGGGGAACUGCGUCUGAUACUGGGUGGCUUGAAUCCGGGAGAGGGAUGCGGAAUUCCAGGUGUAGCGGUGAAAUGCGUAGAUAUCUGGAGGAACACCGGUGGCGAAGGCGGCAUCCUGGACCAACACUGACGCUGAGUGAGCGAAAGCCAGGGGAGCAAACGGG